AACGAACGCUGGCGGCAGGCCUAACACAUGCAAGUCGAGCGCCCCGCAAGGGGAGCGGCGGACGGGUGAGUAACGCGUGGGAACGUGCCCUCUUCUACGGAAUAGCCUCGGGAAACUGGGAGUAAUACCGUAUACGCCCUUAGGGGGAAAGAUUUAUCGGAGGAGGAUCGGCCCGCGUUGGAUUAGGUAGUUGGUGGGGUAAUGGCCUACCAAGCCGACGAUCCAUAGCUGGUUUGAGAGGAUGAUCAGCCACACUGGGACUGAGACACGGCCCAGACUCCUACGGGAGGCAGCAGUGGGGAAUCUUAGACAAUGGGCGCAAGCCUGAUCUAGCCAUGCCGCGUGAGCGAUGAAGGCCUUAGGGUUGUAAAGCUCUUUCAGGGGGGAAGAUAAUGACUGUACCCCCACGAAGAAGCCCCGGCUAACUCCGUG
rnacentral:rRNA from 1 species